CGUGAUGGUAAAACGAAGAGGGGUUUAUGGUAUUUUGGCAUCUGGGAUGAGGUUGGCAUCUUCUUCGUCAAAACCGCGAAAACUUAUCUGGUUUGGGUGUUUGGCAGCUCCUUUCCCGGGCUUCAGAAGGGGUCGGAAGUGAAUUACGAGUCGGACCAAUUUGCGAAUCGAGCGACCUCAUCAUUGAUGUGGUCUCUCUACAUACGCUUCCUCAAUGAAGGGAGUAAUUUAGAUUCUUUGAAUCUCAAACAAUGCAAAGCCUAUUUGCGAACGGACGAUCUUAGAAUUUCAGGAACCCAGUUGGUUUGUUUACAAAGAGUUGAAGAGCACCGGAGGUUAAGAGAUGGAAAUGGUGAAGCAUUAUAUCCCAGACCAUCACUGUACAUUAAUUGUCAUGUAUCAGAAAAGGCGGCAUCUGUUAUUAGUUUUACUGUCGUGUCAAUGGAGAACUAUCUUGAUGGGGUUGAUUGAUAUAGGAAACGAUCUAGCUAGGUUCAAUAGAUUUUGAUAUUCUGGUCCCAAAUCUUGAGGCCGUGGAAAACUGAAGUUAUCUCAAAGAAAGACUUGGCAAGAGUGUAGCUGGAAGUAUCAAAGAGUAAGGUUUGAGCUUCUUUUUCUUCUAAUAACCUGAAAUGGUGUAUUUCAGCUGUGACUAUAGAUUUUGAGGGUCUGAUUAUGAUAGAAGUUAUUUGAAGAGUACAAUAUAUUAUAGAGGGAUUUUAUAGUAGGAUGGGAGAAGCCCAAUGUGUUUAUGAAUGUCCCUAUUUGACAUCCAACUAUAUUGCUGUUCUGUUGUCAAAGCUUGCUGUUCUUUUUUUUCUUUUUCAUGUUGCAUACAUAAAUAUGCUAGAAGGUGAUCUAUUGAUCUAGAAUGUGAUCUUUGGGUUGUCAAAGAAUGCAUCUAGGUCCUAGAUUUGGCCUAGUCUAAUCAUUAAGAGACGAGGACUACAGGUGGGGAAGCACACAAACAUGAUAGUUUAUAGGCUGUAUACUUAUUAUUUUGUACAUUUGGAAAUGAAGUUCAGAGUAUGGCAUAGGAAUGGAGGUGUCAACAAGUGGCGACAUCUAUAGCUAUGAAAUCCUUCUAUUUGAGAUGUUGAUAGGCAAAAGAUUGACAUAUGACAUGUUUAAAGACAGCCUGAACCUGCAUAAAUUGGUCAGAUAAGGCUUUGGCCUCCUUAUCCUAUUGGAUGGUGAUCGGAGCUGUCUUCUAGCCAUCACGGUCUGCCAGCCUUUGAGCAAGCACUUGGAGCCUAUUAUUGAAGAGGAGCUUUUGAACGAGCACAUGGACAAUUGAAGAGGUUUGACAUGUAAAACAAGAAACUUUCAACUAUGUAAUUUUUUUGUUUACUGAUAAUCUGUAUCAAUGUGCUUUGUUUAGUGUGAGACUCGGCUUUGAUUAUCCAACAAGAUGCUACCAGUCUACUUUGUUCUUGGAAUUUUAUGAUCUGUACCUAAAUUUGAAUGCCUGACCGGGACGACUAGAAGACUCGGCUCUGAUCAAGAUGCUACCAGCAUACUUUGUUCUUGGGAUUUUAUGAUUUGUACCUAAUUUUGAAUGCAUGGAAACUUUCUAAGUAUAUCAUGUUUUUUUUUUCA